UACGAAAGGGGCUAGCGUUGUUCGGAAUUACUGGGCGUAAAGCGCGCGUAGGCGGGCUAGCAAGUUGGGGGUGAAAUCCCGGGGCUCAACCUCGGAACUGCCUCCAAAACUGCUAGCCUAGAGGAUGUGAGAGGAUAGUGGAAUUCCGAGUGUAGAGGUGAAAUUCGUAGAUAUUCGGAAGAACACCAGUGGCGAAGGCGACUGUCUGGCGCAUUUCUGACGCUGAGGUGCGAAAGCGUGGGUAGCAAACAGG
rnacentral:rRNA from 1 species